rnacentral:rRNA from 1 species
AGUGAACGCUGGCGGUAGGCCUAACACAUGCAAGUCGAACGGCAGCACAGUAAGAGCUUGCUCUUACGGGUGGCGAGUGGCGGACGGGUGAGGAAUACAUCGGAAUCUACUUUUUCGUGGGGGAUAACGUAGGGAAACUUACGCUAAUACCGCAUACGACCUACGGGUGAAAGCAGGGGAUCUUCGGACCUUGCGCGAUUGAAUGAGCCGAUGUCGGAUUAGCUAGUUGGCGGGGUAAAGGCCCACCAAGGCGACGAUCCGUAGCUGAUCUGAGAGGAUGAUCAGCCACACUGGAACUGAGACACGGUCCAGACUCCUACGGGAGGCAGCAGUGGGGAAUAUUGGACAAUGGGCGCAAGCCUGAUCCAGCCAUACCGCGUGGGUGAAGAAGGCCUUCGGGUUGUAAAGCCCUUUUGUUGGGAAAGAAAAGCAGCAGGUUAAGACCCCGCUGUUCUGACGGUACUCAAAGAAUAAGCACCGGCUAACUUCGU